rnacentral:tRNA from 1 species
UGUAGCUCAGUUGGUAGAGCAUGGCGCUUCUAAUGCCAGGUUAGUGGGUUCAAUUCCCAAUUA